rnacentral:rRNA from 1 species
AACGAACGCUGGCGGCAUGCCUAACACAUGCAAGUCGAACGAGACCUUCGGGUCUAGUGGCGCACGGGUGCGUAACGCGUGGGAACCUGCCCUUAGGUUCGGAAUAACUCCCCGAAAGGGGUGCUAAUACCGGAUAAUGUCUUCGGACCAAAGAUUUAUCGCCUUUGGAUGGGCCCGCGUUGGAUUAGCUAGUUGGUAGGGUAAAAGCCUACCAAGGCGACGAUCCAUAGCUGGUCUGAGAGGAUGAUCAGCCACACUGGGACUGAGACACGGCCCAGACUCCUACGGGAGGCAGCAGUGGGGAAAUUUGGACAAUGGGCGAAAGCCUGAUCCAGCAAUGCCGCGUGAGUGAUGAAGGCCUUAGGGUUGUAAAGCUCUUUUACCCGGGAUGAUAAUGACAGUACCGGGAGAAUAAGCUCCGGCUAACUCCGUG